GGAGGCGUGCAAAGGUUUCCUCGGGCUGGAUGGAAAUCGACCCUCGAGUGCAAAGGUAGAAGGGAGCUUGACUGAAACACGCACCCGUCGAGCAGGGCUGAAAGUCAUCCUUAGUGAUCUGACGGUGCCGAGUGGAAGGUUCGUCACUCAACAGAUAAAAGUUACUCUAGGGAUAAUAGGCUGAUCUUCCCCAAGAGUUCACAUCGACGGGAAGGUUUGGCACCUCGAUGUCGGCUCUUCACCACCUGGGGCGGUAGUACGUUCCAAGGGUUGGGAUGUUCACCCAUUAAAGCGGUACGUGAGCUGGGUUCAGAACAUUGUGAGACAGUUCGGUCCAUAUCCGGUGCAGGCGUUAGAGCAUUGAGAGGACCUUUCCCUAGUAUGAGAGGACCGGGAAGGACACACCUCUGGUGUACCAGUUAUCAUGCCCACGGUAGAUGCUGGGUAGCCAAGUGCAGAGAGGAUAACUAUUGAAAGCAUAUAAGUAGGAAUCCCACCCCAAAAUGAGUGCUCUCCUAUUCUUACUUCU
rnacentral:ncRNA from 1 species